rnacentral:sRNA from 1 species
AGUGCAGAUUAAGAUGAGAUAAAGGGACUACUUAAGUACAGUGCAGAACAAGAUGAGAUAAAGGGACUACUUAAGUUCAGUGCAGAUUAAGAUGAGAUAAAGGGACUACUUAAGUACAGUGCAGAACAAGAUGAGAUAAAGGGACUACUUAAGUUCAGUGCAGAUUAAGAUGAGAUAAAGGGACUAAUUAAGUUCAGUGCAGAUUAAGAUGAGAUAAAGGGACUAGUUAAGUACAGUGCAGAUUGAGAUGAGAUAAAGGGACAAGUUAAGUACAGCCAGUUAAGACACACCCAGCACAAGCAUAACCAUUGUCCGCCAGUUGUCGAUUCAGAUUUUCUUUUCACCACAUGCUAAAAUUUUAAUUUCACAUUUAUGGACUACCCGGUAUAGGAUAUGUUUCAAGAAAAAACACAGAAAAAUUGUAGUUUAAAAUUUAUAUUCCCAAAAGUAUAACAUCAAUAACACAGGACAAUACAAAGCAACAGUAUCAGCAAAUUUCUAAUGAAAUUUUAAAACAUAUUCAUUGAUUCCUACAGCUCAAAAAAGUCAAUUCUAAAUAAAACCUAGGAAACAAUUUCUUACCCUCUUAACAGUGGAUUGCACAAAAAAAAAAAAUGGCACCAAGCAUGUGACUCUAAGGCAUAACUCUGUUGCUCGGUGCAGUAGAAUAGUAAAAAAAAGGUAGCCAGGAUGUCAUUCAAACUUAAAGGUGGCCAGGAUGUCAUUCAAACUUAAAGGUAGCCAGGAUCUCAUUCAAACUUAAAGGUAGCCAGGAUCUUUCAAACUUCAAGGUGGCCCAGGAUCUCAUUCAAACUUAAAGGUAGCCAGGAUCUCAUUCAAAAUUAAAGGUAGCCAGGAUCUUUCAAACUUCAAGGUGGCCCAGGUCUCAUUCAAACUUAAAAGUAGCCCAGGUCUCAUUCAAACUUAAAAGUAGCCAGGAUCUCAUUCAAACUUAAAGGUAGUCCUGGUCUCAUUCAAACUUAAAGAUAGCCAGGAUCUCAUUUAACCUAAAGGUAGCCAGGAUCUCAUUCAAACAAAGGUAGCAAGAAUGUCAUUCAAACUUAAAGGUGGCAAGGAUCUUUCAAACUUAAAGGUAGCCAGGAUCUCAUUCAAACUAAGCCAAUGAUUUGGGAUUAGUAAGAGAUAUAGAAGAAAGGAAAACAUGAUUGCAUCAGCUCUGGUCAACACACAAUCCUCAAAAACCUGUUUAAGUGUGCUUAUAAAGUUAAAGUUUGCUGGACUUUAGUGGCCCUAUUGAGACCGAUAAAUUCUGAAUCAAUAUUCAAUCUCUGAAUUGUUCUUUUUACUCUUUAAGGAAACCUUUUCAGAUGAAGUACUAUACAACAUUGUGGGACAGUGACUAAAGAAUUACUAGUACAUGUAGUUUAAUUUUCCUUAUUGUGUGUUUUUGUCUAGAAGGACAUUUUCUAGAGCCUUGAAACUAUGGCUCACAAAUUUAAUGAAUAUUUUACCUCAUGAUCACAUUUAGAAUGACUGACACAUAUAAAUAUAUAUUUAGAUAACAAUAUUAUGUUACACUUUUGUUU